GCUUUCCAACAAAAAUGAGCAUGUAAAAGUUUGAGGAUGAGGUAGAAGUUAGAGAUGGAAAACGGAUAUGGUUAAAUGGGUCGGGCUUAAAAGUGGCACCAUAUCUAAAAUGUGGACCAACAAAGUUUAAUACCAGUAUCUAUUUUACUUUUACUUGCUUUAUCUAUAUAAAGUUUAAAUACUAUAAAAUUGUAAACUAAA
rnacentral:lncRNA from 1 species